CGCGAGGGUACAUCGCGAACAGUCUGAUGUGAUUAGAAUCUUUCUUGUGCGUUCAAGCUCAUUUUGACGAGUUUCGCUACGUCGGGGUGUUCAAAUUUUGUAUGGAAAAGACGUCAAAUGCGCUCAUCAGCGCAACGGAGUUUUGCCAACUUCAUAGAAGAAGAAGGCUCGUGAUAGCGUCAAUUCUAUCUUCGCAGGUUGCAAAGUUGGUUGGAAACAUGCAAGUGAGCUAGACGAAGAAAGGAAUACCGGAAGUGCAGAGUUACUCAAGAAUGCACGUCGAUUUGAAGGUGAAGCCAGGAGUUUUGAAUAUUGUCACUUUGCAGACGUAGCAAUUGAUGAUGAAAUGAAAUUAUAAAGGAAAGAGUUAAUAGAAAUAAUUUUUUUCAUAAAAUCGGUCUGUGUAGGGAAUCAGGCCCUUUUUAAUUAAUUAAUUAAAUCUAUAUAGAGGCAAAACUAGAA